ACAGCGAUCCUCGUCCAGCCAAAAAGAAAACUAGAGAGCGUGUCUUGUUAAUAUUCUUUUAUCCCUAAACGCUGCAGUUUCGUGUUCCUUCAUUUCAUUUCACUCCUCCCGCUCAGUUCCAUUCCCUUCUCCACCCUCCACCAGCACAAACAACCAUGGAAGAAGAAUUGCCGCCGCCGCAGUCAGAUCUCCCAAGUCCAAGCCCAGCCAGCUCCAUUGACGCCACGCUCCAAAAAAAGCACCAAGCAAUGCUAGACCGUCUCUCCAAUCGUCACCAAUCCCGCCAAAAAACCGCUACCACCUCCACCACUAUUGAUUCCACGGCCUCCUUCCUCUCCACAUUCACAGAAUCCAAACGCUCAAUCGAAUCUCAACUCAAAAACUCGCCUAACACAACAGAUCCUACUCUCCUAAAAUCUCACCUCGCUAAUAUCUCCUCUUCCAUCUCCUCCCUCGAAAAACUCGUAGCCGAAAGCUCCUACUUUCUCCCUUCUUACGAACUCCGCUCCUCUCUUAAAUGCAUCGAGAAUUUAAAACAAUCUCUAGAGAAUUUGAAUUCUCAACUUCUCCCCAAGAAGAAAUUCUCCUUCAAAAACAAAUCCACUAGUAAACCAAAUCCCGGUAAUUCAAAUACAAAUCCAAUCCCACCAAAUCCAUCUCACAUACCUCAAUCAAUUCGCGAUUCACCUGGAAUUCGAAACAAAGAAAACCAAACUUUAAGCAAAAAUUUCAAGAAUUUUAAAGAGAUUGGGGAGUUUACGCUAUCGGAUUUGGAUUCAUGUGAAGUGAGAUUGAUCGGCUGCAUUAACGCAUUAUUUGUUAACAGAUUGAGGAAUUGUAGGGUUUAUACGGGACCUGUGAUUGGUUCAAUUUUGUUAGAGGAAGUCGAGAACUGCGUGUUCGUGUUAGCAUCGCAUCAGAUAAGGAUACAUUAUGCGAAAAGUUGUGAUUUUUAUUUGAGAGUGAGGAGUAGACCGAUAAUUGAAGAUUGUGGAGGUGUGAGGUUUGCGCCGUAUUGUUUGAGGUAUGUGGGCAUUGAGGACGAUUUGAGGAAAGCAGGGUUGGAAGAGGAGAAAGAAAAUUGGGGAAAUGUGGAUGAUUUCAAGUGGUUGAGAGCAGUGAAAUCACCGAAUUGGUCAGUUUUGGAGGAAAGCGAAAGGAUUGGCUGUGUGGAGAUUGAGGAUUCGGGAAGCACUGAAGCUGAAAUGGAGAUUGAGGGGGUUUAGGGAGCGGAAUUUCAAUAGUUUGUUAUGCUAGUUCCGACUUCAGGCGGAGGGGUCAUCUAUUGAAUAUUAUUGCUCUGUGACAUGUUUUCUGGAUUGUGGUCAAGUUUGCUGUUUAACAUGAUCAGUUUCAAGGAUCAGGUUGUUCUCUGGACGUUUAAAUCCUUGAAAUACCUGCUGAAUGCGAGUUGCUGUCAUGGCCUACUGGCUGUCCUCAUAGUUUUCUGGUUGGAUGCUGAUAUUUUGCUGGUCCAAUGAUGAUUCAAGUGUUGCUGUUUCUGCAGAUGGGAUUUACUUGCAUGUACAGUGCUGUUGGGUAUAUUGAUUUAGAAGUGUGAACCAUCAUCAAUCAUUCUUUUUGAGAUUUAUUUUAAAAACAUCAUGGCUGUUCUUGAGCUCAGGCACCCUUCUGCUUAUUUUUUCCAUCAUGGACUGGUGGCUGUUGACUGUGGUUAAGAAGCAGAAGCAGGUUGAAUAAUCAUUACCUAUAUAUUUUACAAGGACUAUUUGGGGCCCCUUUGACAACUAUACCUUUUUUGACCUUUUGCUUUGACUUAAUUGCUGGCAUUUGGCCUUAUUGAUGGGAUCUUGCCAGUUUUACCAUAACCAUUCCAAUUCCAAUUUUUAUUGUUACCUGAAGCCAAGUGCUUUCCAGAGUCCGCGUAAUGAAUAGCUGAUACGAAUUUAUUCUCAAUACCCAAUCAAAGAUUCUUUUGAAUCUUGAAAUUGUUGUCUGAUGAAAGUUGUUCGGUAAGGGUCUUGUCAAAUGUUCUGUGAUUUCCCUCCUGGCGUUGUCAAAAUGUGAUUGGCAUUUGGCAGCAGAAACCUACCUGCUCUGCAAUUCCCACCAUGCAGAAGUCUUCUAUUUACUUCUAUCCUGCAUCUUUCGAAGGCAUAUCAGGAGACCUUUUUAGAUUUUUCUACUUUCCAACAGUUUAAUAGUUGUUAUCUUGGACUGCGGUUAUGACAAGAACAAUAUUUGUUCACUAUCCCUAUAAUUAGCAAACCCAUGAUUGGCGUGCUAGGUUCUUAAUAGCAGUUCAUACGAAUGGGGUACUGGUAGGUUUCACUUUAAAUGUCAAAUUUUAGAAACAUACUGCUUUCACAUUUCAGGUUCCAGCGUGGGCCAAAACAAAGCAACUGCCAUAAUUGAAUUGAAGUCACUAGAAAGUAGAAGUGUCAUCCAUAGUAUAUAUCUUAGGAUGCUUUAGUGGUGGCUGAGUAGCUCACAUUAUCCGUUUUUGGUUUUCUUUUUUCUAUAUUCUAUUCUCUUGCACCAACUCCUGUUAUGUGAUAUUUAGUUCUGGGCGUAAACAUUUUCUUUUUCAAGUUUGACAUGAUUCUCUGGCUAGGUCCAAUCUGGCUGUAUGCUCGUGGAUAGAUCUUGAUGAUCCAAUUCAUUCAGUUCUUAACUACAACCAUGUGACCUAGCUCUGCAUGCAUCGUUGUUCUAACCUGUUACUUGACUCUGUAUUCUAUAUCUAGGAACUAAGAUAUCCAUGAGCAAGCCUGGAUAAUUGGAUCCCCCUUCCUUCUUUUCUCUCUUUCUUGAUC